rfam:Sphingomonas sp. Root710 contig_1, whole genome shotgun sequence.
GGGCGCAUAGCUCAGCGGUAGAGCACACCCUUCACACGGGUGGGGUCGCAGGUUCAAUCCCUGCUGCGCCCA